UAAGGGGCGGGGCCUGGGCGGAGUUGAGGAGUGUGAGCUUUCUCAAGGGGCGGGGCUGUUGGUGGGAGGCUCUAAAUGAGACUGGGCUAGGACCUGGAGAUUUCUGAAGGGCGGGACAGGAAAGGGGAUCUAGAGGGGAAAAGCCCGAGAGAAGCCGACUGAGGGGAUGGUUCGGGGCCCGGAGAGAAGGCUGAACCGAGACGUUCCGAAGGGGGAGGGGCCGAAAGUUAUUUGUCCGCUCUGGCCGUUCCUCUUCCCUCCUCUCCUCGGGGCUUGGUGUGAGCUCACACCUGAUCGGGAGCCCAAGUCCCACCCGGGAGCCGCCUCCCCCUCCCCCCCGGGCUGGGAAUGGGCAACGUGCAGUCUGAGCCACCCGGCUCAGAGCCCGGCAA
rnacentral:lncRNA from 1 species